GCCAGUGUGGUUGCAAUGGUAGCGCGCGUCUCUCAAAGCUCAAUGCAACGAUUUAAGACGAGGUUGCUGGUUCGAAUCCAGCCAUUGGCG